ACAAAUACGAAAUAUAUUUGCAAGGGCAUGGAAAUAAGGUUUUUCAAGUUACCUGUGAUUCCGCAUAUUCGCGAAAAAUGGUUAAAGGCAUGCAACCCCCGAAACCGGAACCGGAAAAGUAACCAAAUAAUAACAGGUUUACAUUAUUCUAGUAGCUCUCCAGUCCAAUAACCAUACAAACUCGCGCUGGAAUAUACAAAAAAAUACUCGGAAUAGAACAUUGAAUUAAAAGUUUCUAUCCAGUGCUGUUUCGGUUAAAUAAACUCGAAUGCUACUGGAAUCAGGUAAAAACUUAGUACAUAAAACCAAUUUAAUAUUUUCCCGUAGUGGUGAACUGGAACAAAACGAAGAUUAUUUGGAUGAAUAUUUAGAAUAUCUGGAGGGGUAUAUUUAUGUUAACUAUUAAUUAUUUACGUAUGUAAAUCAAUACAUAAAUUAUUUUUCAAAUUUACGUAUAAAGAGGUGAAAAAACGGCAGUUGAAGACAUUGGUAUUUCAAGAAAAAUCGUGAGAAGCGCUUAUACAAGCAUAGCUACCCAAACUGAGUGAGAUACAAUUUAUAGGGAUAUAUGCGUGUAUGUAUAUUUUAUAUCUUACUUUAUUAUUUGCCUUAGUGAAUCGCUCGAUUUGCACCGGCUCAAAUGCGUUGAGUUUGAGAAAAAAAUUGCUUCCCUUGAGAAGCAAAUUGCAGAUCUUAAGCUCGAGCUAUGCAAGGUUGAAAAGCUAAAGGUUUUUGACAAUACUUUAACGUCCUCACGUUAUAGCCUGGAUGAUAUAUCAUAUGCAACUUUCAUAUAUGCGGCUGGGCCACGCUGUUAUAGGCUAUUGCGUAAACUCGAGUUUGCUUUGCCGUCACCGUCAACACUGCGAAGG